rnacentral:rRNA from 1 species
AGGAGGAUUAAUACUUUAUAACAGAUUUAAUGGCAUCAUUAGAUUUUGAAAGAUUUAUCGCAGUAGGAUAGGCAUGCGUAAGAUUAGUUAGUUGGUGAGGUAACGGCUCACCAAGACGAUGAUCUUUAGGGGGCCUGAGAGGGUGAACCCCCACACUGGUACUGAGACACGGACCAGACUCCUACGGGAGGCAGCAGUGAGGAAUAUUGGACAAUGGGUGGAAGCCUGAUCCAGCCAUCCCGCGUGUAGGAUGACGGCCUUAUGGGUUGUAAACUACUUUUAUCUGGGGAUAAACCUACUUACGUGUAAGUAGCUGAAGGUACCAGAAGAAUAAGCACCGGCUAACUCCGUGCCAGCAGCCGCGGGUAAUACGGAGGGUGCAAGCGUUAUCCGGAUUUAUUGGGUUUAAAGGGGUCCGUAGGCGGGAUUAAUCAGUCAGUGGUGAAAUC